AUGACUUCUACUCCAGUCUUGGUAUUACCUGAUUUCAACAAACCUUUCUGUAUAGAAACAGAUGCCUGUGACUCCGGUAUUGGAGCAGUUCUUACACAGGAAGGACACCCUGUGGCUUACUACAGCAAGUCUCUAGGGCCAACCAAUCAGAAAUUGAGCAUUUAUGAGAAAGAAUUUCUAGCUAUUAUCAUGGCCAUUGAGAGGUGGAGAUGCUACGUUUGCAGGGGGCCGUUCGUGAUCAAAACCGACCACAAGAGCUUAUGUCACUUGGAAAACCAAGCCCUUACUUCAGAGCUACAGAAAAAGGCUAUGACAAAACUAAUCGGGCUCCAAUUCCAGUUCCAGUACAAAAAAGGCGAGGACAACAAGGCCGCUGAUGCUCUAUCUAGAGUGGGCCAUGUGUUUGCCUUACCUGCAGUCUCCUCAGGACAGCCUGUCUGGAUCCAGGAAAUACUUAACUCUUAUGAGAUUGAUUGCAAGGCUCAACACCUCCUACAGAAACUGGUGGUUAACCCUGAUGAAGAACCUGAGUUUUCUUUGGAAAAGGGUCUGCUCAAACACCAGGGCAGAAUUUGGGUUGGGGCCAAUGCAGGUUUGCAAACAAAAAUUAUUGAAGCACUCCACUCUUCUCCUGUGGGAGGCCACUCUGGCAGUCAGGCCACUUAUGAGAGAGUGAAGAAAUUAUUCCACUGGUAUGGCUUAAAGGAAGCAGUGGCAAAUUUUGUGCAACAGUGCCAGGUUUGCCAACAAGCCAAACAUGAACAUUGCAAGUAUCCUGGUUUGCUUUGUCCAUUGCCUAUUCCCAAAGGACCCUGGGAAGAUAUAUCCAUGGACUUCAUCGAAGGAUUACCCAAAUCAUCUGGAUAUUCAGUGAUCCUGGUAGUUGUGGACAGGUAUACAAAAUAUAGCCAUUUCAUUGCUCUCAAACACCCCUUCACUGCUGCUCAGAUAGCACAAAUUUCUGCUCCACGUUGUUAA
rnacentral:rRNA from 1 species